GCUAGUUCGGGCCGCGGUAGUGAAGUAAUCCGCGGCAAAAGAAUCGUAUACAACGGAUAUUUGACUCGCAGCACACGCCAAUGAAACGAGUCCAAGCGGAUAUAUUAGACCUUGCACUGUUAGACGGUAGCCUCGAACAUCAAACCGGCUACGCAGCGAAACUUGACGUUAGGGUUUACAAAAUAUUAUCGCGUCGGAAUCAGAAAAUAAUCGCGUAGCGUCUUAUCGAGAAUUCGCCUCGACGUCUGCAAUGCAGUUUUUAUGUUU